GGAACAAAUUAAAAAUAAAGCAAAAUAUUAAGCAAAUUUGAAUUAUAAAUUUUUAGACGUUCAGUGCGCAAAAAAAUAAAUCAACGAACCAUCCUGAUAACUUUUGAUCUAAUGAUCAGAUCUUCACUUUCUUCUCAUCUCAAUGGUUCAAGGGGUGACUUAAAAUAUGAUAAUUAAUAGGUGCAGGUAUGAUAUUUUAAGUUACGAAAUCAGAUACUAAAACGUACUUUCUCUGAAGUUUCUGUUUAUACAUGCCAUUUUUUCGACGGAUUUGGAUUUCUGGAUCCCAAAAUUUAGGGGAUAAUCGCAAUCUGAGAAGUACCUAGAGAGAUUUUCAAGCAAAGUGAAAAAAAAUUCUACGCAAUUAUAAAGGUCGUUUAUACUUGUGUAAAUUAAGUUGUUUUUAUGGAAAAAGAAAAAUAUGAAUCAUUGAAAUAUUCGAGAAGAUGACUUUUUGCAUCUUUAUGAAAAUACAUUAUAAGAAUGCUUAGCCUUCAUAACUAAACAGGCUCUAGUUUUUCAAUACAUUAGAUGCUUAUUGUUUUUUUUUUGUUUUUUUUU